rnacentral:lncRNA from 1 species
AGAUUUUAAUUGGAUAUAGACUUUUUUUGAAAUAUUCAAGUAAGCACGACUUUAAGUCAUUUGAUUAUUACUUUAGUCGAGACCAUAAGAUUUAUAUAAAUGGAUCAUUUGACUCGUUUCAGUAUGAAUAUGUAUUUUGAUGUAGCUACAGUGUCUUAAGUAUACGUAAAACUUGAUAAGGAAGCAUACAAACUAAAAUAUAUAAGCAACACCUUUAAGUAUUUUUUACCAUGAAACACAACUCCACAUGGCAGAAGUAAAAUAGAAACAAGUCAUAAAUCAUUAAAUAAUCUUAGGAUUACGUCCCUUUAAGAGUGAUCUCAGCGCUCAGGAAAUGCCAGACGUUGGCAAAAAAGUCCUUGAACCAUAGCCAUGCUUUAUUAGAUUCUUCCCAACUUGAGAAAGGAUUUAUAAAUUUCCCUAUAAUACAAUAUACAUUACUUGAAUUAUCCGGUACAUUCUGUUCUCUAAUCCAGUUGAGAUCCAUGAUGAUGUUGUACCUUCUGUGUCCAUUCUAGAAGAAAUCAUGCUCAUCAUUCUCUUGAAUCUAGCCCCCAUAUAUCCUCUCUCUACUUCCUCCUCUUCCUUCUUCCUGUCCCGCAUUCUUGAGUCCUCCUUUCCAGCAUGCGAAAUCUCUUCUAUGGGCUCCGUCUCCAUAUUUCUUGCUCCCCCUUACUUAAGCUCCUCAAAUACACUUGGUACUAUAAACACCAGGAACUAAGUACAUUAGGAAGCAAUUUUGAUUGUUUCAGUGUCUUGUGGAUGAUUCCAUAACGAUUGGAACCAAAAUGAAAUGGUUGUUUCCAGUAACCUAGUAGACAAUUCCAGUAUCUGGCAGAUGAUUCCACAACUCAAUAGAUGAUUUCAGUACUCAGUUAUCCAAUGUAGUAUACAGUGUCUGGUUCCAGUACUCAGAAUAUUUCAGAAUUAGAUACAGUAUCACUGUGAUUAGAUUCAACAUCCAAUGGUAGCUAUCAGUAUAUAAUAGAUGAUUUAAAUAUGAAAACCAACAGUGAUUGAACAAUACAUGAUAUAGUAGGCUUACUAGAAAUUGCCUAUUCAAAGGCUUCUAGGUCCAAUGGCAGAUCAACACAUAGUUAACUAGAGAUGAUUUCAACUACGAUGACUUUUUCUUUUCUGUACUAAAUCAACAAGAUCUGGUGGUUUCUGGAGGUUCUCAAAGAAAAGGAUAUGAAUUAAUACUUAUGUCAGUAUAAACAUAAACAACGUUAAAAUAAUAUGUAUUGUAAAUUUAUUCAAAAGAUAAUAAAUAUUUUUGUAGUGGUAAAUGUAGGUGAAUAGGUCAUCAUAGAAUUGUUGAAAACCCGGAUUACGUUUUAUACUAACAAACGAAUACUAUGAGUUAACCGUUUAUAGAACUUUCACAAGACUAAGAGAUGUCGAGCUUUUUAUUGUUACAAUGCGGGAAACUUUGAAAUGUCGCAAUACUAAGAGCUAUUGUUUAUGCACUUUUUAAAGCAUUUCAUAUAACUCGAAUAUCUAGCGUUUCAUUUCGUAAUUUAUAAUUCUCAUUGUAAUUAAGAAAACAUGAUUGUUAACACCCCUGUUUAUCUAAAGCGGAAUAUCUCUGCUUAGUAGAGUGUAAAAUAGUAUUAAAUUCCAACUUGUCUUUCUAAUACCAUUAAACUCUUUUUGAUUUUUUAAUUCCAUUUUCUUUGUGGUCUUGUAUUUAUCUAAAUCAAUAAAGUACUGUUAACCUAGUGA